GAGGAGGUGAAGCCUACCAGUAUGGUUUGGAUAGUUUCUAUUUCUUCGUCCGGAACAAUAGUUGCUGUUUGCGUGGCGGUCGUUGUGUUUCUUGCAAUAAGGAGAUACCACUCAAAGACUGAGACAAGGAUGAAAAAUGAUGUAUCUUAUAAUAAAGAAACUGUUUACUUCGAAUGUCUUGGGCAGACGAAAGAUCAGACCUGCCAAAACCCAGAGAACGUUUACAAUUCUUUAUCGGGCGACGCUGAAUACUGUUAUGCUCUGGAAAGAUGUCAAGACGAUCAAAAAGUAUCAACAAUAAACGCCAAGGAAAAUCCCACUUACAUCAACACGAUUUAAAUGUCAUAUGUACCUCCACCAUGAGUUUAAAGCAGUGAAACGACUCUAUUUUUUAAGCGCAUGGAUUCAAAUUACAUUCACAUUGCAACAAACAGAAACAUUAUUCGUUUUCAGUUUAAUUUUGCUUAAGAAUAAUUGAUCAUAAUAAAUACAUUUAUAAAAUGUCUAUACUCGCACGCACACA